UACGUAGGGCGCAAGCGUUAUCCGGAAUUAUUGGGCGUAAAGAGCUCGUAGGCGGUUUGUCGCGUCUGCCGUGAAAGUCCGGGGCUCAACUCCGGAUCUGCGGUGGGUACGGGCAGACUAGAGGUAGGUAGGGGAGAAUGGAAUUCCCGGUGUAGCGGUGAAAUGCGCAGAUAUCGGGAGGAACACCAGUGGCGAAGGCGGCUUCCUGGACCUGUUCUGACGCUGAGGAGCGAAAGCGUGGGGAGCGAUCCGG
rnacentral:rRNA from 1 species